rnacentral:tRNA from 1 species
AGGGGUAUAGUUUAAAGGCAGAACAACGGUCUCCAAAACCGUUGGUGUGGGUUCGAUUCCUACUACCCCUG